rnacentral:lncRNA from 1 species
UUUAGGUUUAGCUUCCGCUGCUUCGAGAGCUUUCUCUAAGGUGCCAGCACGAUCAGCAAGGGGCUUGACAUUAGCAUCAAACCAUGCUUGUACUCCAUCUAGACUUGCUGGGAUUGGUGUUUCAUCAUCAGAUCUAGCCGCGGUCGCUGCAAGAACAAUGACAAAGACGAUAUAUUGGGAGAAGAAAAUGAAAUUAAGUUGCUUUUUAUCCAUCUCUCGUUGAUAGAUUUUGGGAAGGUGUUGCUUGUUUCUUAAGUGAAGGAGGAUGGGGAAUUUAUA